rnacentral:rRNA from 1 species
UGAGCAAUCUGCCCUUCUCAUCGGAAUAAGCGUUGGAAACGACGUCUAAUGCCGAAUACGACCUCCUUUCGCAUGAUCGGAGGUGGAAAGCUCCGGCGGAGAAGGAUGAGCUCGCGGCCUAUCAGCUAGUUGGUGUGGGUAAUGGCCCACCAAGGCGACGGACGGGUAGCCGGCCUGAGAGGGUGACCCGGCCACACUGGGACUGAGACACGGCCCAGACUCCGUACGGGAGCAG